rnacentral:rRNA from 1 species
AUUGAACGCUGGCGGCAUGCUUUACACAUGCAAGUCGAACGGUAACAGGCCUUCGGGUGCUGACGAGUGGCGAACGGGCGAGUAAGUCAUCGGAACGUACCCAGAGGUUGGGGAUAACGCAGCGAAAGCUGUGCUAAUACCGCAUGUGAUCUGAGGAUGAGAGCGGGGGACCGGGCAGCAAUGUUUGGCCUCGCGCCUUUGGACCGGCCGAUGUUGGGUUGGCUAGUGGGGGGGCUAAAGGCCUAGCAUGUGGACGAUCCGUAGCUCGACUGAGAGGACGACAGCCCACAUUGGGACUGAGACACGGACAAGGGUCCUGCGGGAGGCAGCAGUGGGGAAUUGUGGACAAUGGGGGCAAGCCUGAUCCAGCAAUGCCGCGUGCGAGAAGACGGCCUUCGGGUUGUAAACAGCUUUUGGCAGGAACGAACCGGUGUCCGCUAAUACCGGGCGCUAAUGACGGUACCUGCAGAAUAAGCACCGGCUAACUACGUG